rnacentral:lncRNA from 1 species
GCUAGUGACAGGGUCAGUGUUUGACAGAUGAUAGUCUACACACAACCAAAGGACGGUUAUUACUUGAAACCACAACUUCUUACUUAAAAUCACUCCUUCCAGAAAGGGUGACUCUUGCUAAGAUUAAAUUCUUGAAAAGUCCUUUUCUUUAGCUGAGGACCUUGAUGGGUUUGGGAUCAGUAAAGCCAAGCCUGGAGUUUAGUGGGAGGAGGGUUAGAGAAAAUCACAUAGGUGUGCUUAAGAGAGGCAAGAACUCAGGGUUCGGGGGGUACCCAGGAAUGGGGGGUUGAGGAGCAGAGAUGUGAGCACAAGAGGAGAGACAGGACAGAAAAAAUGGCAGGAAGCCAGGGUCCUAUGAAAACCCUGCUGAUGCGACAGGCAAUGGUUUUAGAAAUAGAGACAUACACUAUUUCAGUUGAAAUCUAAGUUCUUUAUAAAAUCUUUGUUCAGUAAUAAUGUAUUCACUUAAUUUUC